UACGAAGGGGGCGAGCGUUGUUCGGAAUUACUGGGCGUAAAGGGCUCGUAGGCGGUUUGUCGCGUCGGGAGUGAAAAUCCAGGGCUUAACUCUGGACUGGCUUCCGAUACGGGCAGACUAGAGGUAUGCAGGGGAGAACGGAAUUCCUGGUGUAGCGGUGAAAUGCGCAGAUAUCAGGAGGAACACCGGUGGCGAAGGCGGUUCUCUGGGCAUUACCUGACGCUGAGGAGCGAAAGUGUGGGGAGCGAACAGG
rnacentral:rRNA from 1 species